rnacentral:misc_RNA from 1 species
GAUGAAGAACGCAGCGAAAUGCGAUAAGUAAUGUGAAUUGCAGAAUUCAGUGAAUCAUCGAAUCUUUGAACGCACAUUGCGCCCCUUGGUAUUCCGAGGGGCAUGCCUGUUCGAGCGUCAUUAUAACCCUCAAGCUCAGCUUGGUGUUGGGGCCUGCUGCACUGGCAGCCCUUAAAAUCAGUGGCGGCGCCAUCUGGCUCUAAGCGUAGUAAUUCUUCUCGCUAUGGAGUCCUGGUGGAUGCUUGCCAUCAACCCCCAAUUUUUCUAUGGUUGACCUCGGAUCAGGUAGGGAUACCCACUGAACUUAAGCAUAUCAAUAAGCGGAGGA